rnacentral:lncRNA from 10 species
AGUGGAGUUUUUAGCCUUUUAACAUUCAAGGAUUAGAGCUCCCUCUUUGCCCACUAGCAGGGCAUUAGCUGGUGCUGAAGACAGUGGCUGCUUGGCGAGCCUGGAUCUCCAAGUGACCCCCUCAGCAACUCCUGAUGAACAGGACUGAAGCCAAUAUUAAAGCAAGUCAACCAAAGGUUCUCUGGUGUAGACAAGACAGCAAAAGGACAGACUACCUUGUGGAACCUAGCAUUGUUCUCCUUCUGCAGCACUAAGUACUGUGUGCAGAAAUGUGAUUGAGAUUCAAGUCAGGGCCUCUCUGCCCUUUUCCCUCCAGAAACAAAACCAAGAUAAUUUAUCCUGAACACGGUGAAAAAAGGAAGGGAGGGAGGAGAAAAAGUCCGGGUCUCACCUGGGAUUCUCUGUCUCCUGCAACAUGAAGGAUUUAGCCUGGGAGGAGGUGGUGAGAACUCUGGGAGAGAAAAAAGAAGGAAAGAAUAGUUUUACCCAUGCUGAAGUUAAUUUAAACCUUCACCUAGAGAAGCAAAAAAAAAAAACCCACACUUUCCCAUUUUGUGCCUCCCUUCCUAGAGUUUUAGCCAAAGGUUUAGCUAAGUAAUUGGUUUUACCAGCGCACUCACUCCUCCUAUCCCAAGUCUGUUUGACUCCCUCCCCAUCAUCCUCCUCACCUCUUUUCAGGCAGGGUGGGGAUAGCAGCAGGAGGAGAUUUUGGGAGCCUGGCAACUCCUGCAAGGACCGCAGGACAGCCCCUCUGUGGGGAUGCGUGGUGCCCCAUCUGCCGCCCUUCUGAAGAAUGCACUGCCUUCACUUUUUACUGUGUUAGAGUCCAUCCAGACUGUUCUAUCCAAAAAAGUUUCUUUUUCCCCCACAGGCAAUCAGGAAAUGAUUCCUUUCCCGACUGCUUCUGUCUAGUGCCUGGGAAUCUUGAGUCAAUCCCUCAGUAAGUCAGUGACUAGGGAAAUCCCUCUCUGAGCCUCCCAGUUCAUGUUGCUUAGGGAACCUGAUAUUUUCGUGAAACCUGCCUACACAUGGGCAGCCCAACAGCAGAACAAAUGGUGGUGACCAAAGUGAACAAAGAAGUAUAGUUGUGCCAGCUUCGUAGUUGCCCAUGUGGACAAGUCAGCAGGAUCAGGACACGAGGAAGAGUAAAUGUGAGACAGUCAAUGUGACUUCUGCGAUAAACAGAUUUUUAAACCCCGAAAUUUUGCAAAAUUUUGGUGAAACCUGAACUUUCUUCGUUGCAUAUACUGGCACUAUCUGUACCAUCAUACAACUGUCUCACAUUAAAGCUAUUUUUCUUGGGCACUGAUGAGUAAGGUUGGUAUAAGUUCCUCAGAUCAACAAAAACCCAUUUUCCUGUAAGUCUUACAUUUAGUAUUUAAGGAACUAAAACUUAAAUACAUUUUGUGAAAUGGUUGACACUUCACUGAUAAUGAUUUAUUGCUUGGAUUAAUAAAUUUUCCAAAAGUUGUCUUAUGUAGAAUAUGGUUUGCAACCAGCAGAACCAUUAAUCUAUACUGCAAUGAUAUGCACUAUGUAUAAUUGUUUAAAAGCCUCUACUUAAUGAUGUAAAAUGCUCUAUUUAAUUACACAUUUGGGUAAACUGUAUACUAACAUCUGAUGGCAUUUUUCCACUGUUUGUUGCUUUUUUCAAAUACUUUAUUGUACAAAGCUGUUCUUAAUAUUUUUCAAGUUUUUUUCUUUGAAUUUUGCUAAUGUUUUCCUUGAAUUAUGAGCACUGACAGAAUGUGCUUAGCACUUUUGGCUAUUCACACAGCUUUUGAGCAUGAUUUGCAUCCAAUAUUUACAUUGCUAGCAAUAAUAAGCCAUCUGUGAGUUUUGUCAAAA